UACGGAGGGUGCAAGCGUUAUCCGGAUUCACUGGGUUUAAAGGGUGCGUAGGUGGGUUGGUAAGUCAGUGGUGAAAUCCCCGAGCUUAACUCGGGAACUGCCAUUGAUACUAUCAAUCUUGAAUACCGUGGAGGUCAGCGGAAUAUGUCAUGUAGCGGUGAAAUGCUUAGAUAUGACAUAGAACACCAAUUGCGAAGGCAGCUGGCUACACGAAUAUUGACACUGAGGCACGAAAGCGUGGGGAUCAAACAGG
rnacentral:rRNA from 1 species